UUUAAAAAUUAAAUAAAUGACAAAAAUUGAUAAAAUAAAAAAUAGGAGAGUAUACUCAUAGAGAUUGUCGCCUCAACUCCCUUAAUGCUUUUCUUUAUAUAUAUAUUGAUUGAUGUAUAUUAAUAAUAAUAAAUUUUUAGCUAAAAAAUAAUUGUAAUAAAUAAAUAAAUGAAAAAAAAUUGAUAAAAUAAAAAAUAAGAGAGAAAACUCAUUGCCAGACCUCAACUCCCCUCAUGCUUUUCUUUAUAUCUCUUUAUAUAUUAAAAGUAGCUAUCUAACGGCAUUUCUUGGUUUAACGGUGUUUUUAUUUUCCUUUCCGUUAACUUUAACGGAGGCUACUGAUAACGUUAUUUGAUUUUAUAAUAAUAAAUAAUUUCUUUUUACGAGUUGUUACGUGAAUAAAGCCUCAAAUAGUGAGAAUAUUCUAGAUUACGAACGAACUAUACCUCAAAGUUUCAAGAUCUCUCGAAUCAAUAACCCAACCCCAUUCUUCUCCAAUGCAAACUAUCAAACCUCUUCUUCCAAAAGCUUUCAAUGUCGUAAGCCACUGCCUGAAAAUCCUGAAACACUCCUCCUCCAAGAAAGGACUUCGUUUGAUGUUUAUGAAGUAUUUCGAGGAGGGCAUACAGAAAGGGAAUAGAGGAAGAAGGUUGGUUUUCAUCCAUUACAUGAGUGUUAAAGUGGCAAAGGAAAUUGAUCAUUCUGAUAGUGACGAAUACAGUAAGAGCCUUGUGCCACAACCUGAACACCCGAAAUGCCGGAGCGACCAGAGGUGGAGGCAGUUUGGAGGGUUGUAGAGGAAAACUUCCUUGGCAAGAAGAUGAAGAGGUUGGUCGUAGUUGACGACUCCAAGGUCAUCAACGACAUUUUUGCCUCAGACUUCGAUGUUGUACUUUUGGGAAAUACUAUCGUUGUCACUCACCGCAAGAGCAAGAACCUAUGGCUCCAACUUACCUUCUUUUCCUUCCAUUCGAUUAGGUAGUCUUUUUAUUUUCUCAAAUCAAAAGCCCUAAUUAAACAAUGGAAUGGCAUGUGAUAUUCCUUAGGUGACUGAGUCAUGAAUGUGUUUGUUCACAUCAUAUGGAGUUGUGUUUUUAGUAACGCAACCCCCUUUCAAAGUUAAGGGGAUGUAGGCCAAUAUGAUUUUGCGUUACAAAAUAGUUAAAAGCUUAGUUCAAGUCUGAUAUAUGCGAGUAAAUCAAGUUUAAAGUUUUGAUUUUCUUAAUGGUGUAGGAUCUUAUUGUCAAGUCACUUUCUGAGUUGGACACAUAUGCUUCGCUUGAUCUUUUGCCUAAAAUCUCAUUGUGGGCAAAGAGCGCUGACUAUGAUAGAGUAAGUAUCAUUGUUAAAUCUUAUUACAAUAAUUUUCAUUUGUAUUUACCUUGAAUUUCAAUGAAUAAUCAUCUACAUUCCAACUUCUAAGAUAAUAAUAUGAGUAAUAAAGUAAUUAUGUGUCUUGCUUUCGAUUUUCUUGCUUGAGUUCAUUUAAUUUACAGGCUCUGCCUUGGUAUUAUAAGAACAUAACCGAUAUUGAAGAGUACAAUGGGAAGGACCUGAUUGAAUUGAUUGAGUUUAACACUAUUAGCAUUAGUAUAGGAGAUCUUCCUCCUUUACUAUAUGGUAAGUGUACUAACAAUAUGUAUUUUUAUGUUAUCAAAGGUCUCUAUUAAUUUUAUUGCUUCAGGUUUGAAGUGUUGAAAGUAAAAUACACAUUUUGACAUAAGCAUUACACUAUUUUCAUUACAUAUUAAGAAUUUUUACUAAGAAAAUCUCUAUUUUUCUUUUAGCUGUAUUCCAUCUCAAUCUAUCUUUCUACACAAGAUGAUAGAAAAGGUGUCUUUCAGUUAUCUAAUUCAUAACGAUCAGUGGCUUGUUUCAGUAGAAGAGUAUGUUAGGAUCUCCUAAUUGAGUUGAUGAUUCAUUGAAAUAGUUUGUGUUUCUUCUAAUUUGUAUUAUCUUUAUUCAGCAAAAUUUCACCAAACAUAACCCCACUUAUAAAUAAUAACAUUUCUUAACUGUUAUUUGAGUUUUGACAUUGAUCUGCACAAAUGAAGCGUAUAAGAGUGACUUCUUACCAAGUGUUUUUAUUAGUUGUCACUCUACAAUGUAAAGAUGCCAACUUGUUUUGGUUUUAUGAAACUCCAUACAUCUUUAUAGUUCUUUUUUCUUUUUUUGAUAAUGGACACCUUUAUAAUUCUUAAGAUUGAACAAAAAGUUAACUUUUAUAGUGUGCUUGGGGGUUGGGAUUGUUUAUUUUAGUGUGCUUUGUAUAAAAUUGGGGUAUGUUAAUGUUAUUAUAUAGACUAAGUAAGGCUCUUAAUAUUUAGGACUGCUCGUAAUUCUAAGUCCCACACUACAUGCUCUUUCUCAAUAUGUACUAUAUAAAUUCAUUAACCAAGUGAAUAUGUAUGAUCAGAAUAUCAGAACUACUUUUCUACAAAUUAACCAUAUCAUGCUCACUUAUUUAGAUAUAUAUUAUAUCUUUAGUCCACUUAAUCCACUCUUUAGUAAUCAUUGUUGGUACACUCCUUUAGUAAAUGUCAUAUAUGUAUUAGCUAUAAGGAGGGGUUAUAGCACGUGAUGGACCUCAACUAUGAACAAGAAAAACUCAGAGUUUGAUAUCGUUUGUGAAUGUAAUUGGGCUCAGUGUUCAUGGUUAUGGGACUAUUAAUGGACGUAAAAAAAGCUGGUGGGACGUGUCUUGUGCUCACCAUCCUAAGUUAAAGGGCUGAUACGAGAGAAGUCCUACGACACUAACGUUCUUAAAGGAGAUUAUCUUAAAAACAUAUUGAUGAUGAGUAUUCCACAAAUUCAUAUACUUGUGUGGUUUUGAGAUGAUAUUAGAUUUGAGUCUUUGCUAUAAAUUCUCCUCUUCAAAGUCCCAAUAUUGAAGACUCUAAAAAUGUCACUCUCUUAUCAAAGGUGGUAAUAUAUCUCUAAGAUCUACAUAUUUAUAU